AUGACCGGGCACCCAUUGUAGUGAGUCGUGAUGUGGGGAUACAUAGUAGUCCAGCAGAGGUUGAGCGGAGGGAGCGGGAGGGAGUGUAUUCUUGGAGGAGGUCGCAGAGAUAACUGGGGGCUAGGUUGUGGAGAGCUUUGUAGGUGAGGAGUAGGGUUUUGUAUUGGAUACGGUAGUGUACUGGGAGCCAGUGAAGUUGAAUGAGGACAGGGGUGAUGUGGUCAGAUGAUUUGGUGCGGGUGAUGAUCCGGGCGGCUGAGUUCUGAAUGAUCUGCAGUCUGUUGAUGAGUUUGGUGGGGAGUCCGGUGAGGAGGGCGUUGCAGUAUGGAGCUGGGGUGUGUUGUGAUUUAGUGAGGGUGGAUUUGGAUCCGAUGAGCAGGGCCUCGGUCUUGUUUCCAUUGAGUUUCAGGAAGUUCCUGCUCAACCAGCUCCGGAUCUCUUCCAGGCACGUGAUGAGGGAGGUGGGGGGGAUGGCAGCGGUGGGUUUGGUGGAGAUGUAGACCUGUGUGUCGUCAGCGUAGCAGUGAAAAUGGACCCCAUGGUGACGGAGGAGUGUGCCCAGCGGGAGGAGGUAAGUGGUGAAGAGGAGUGGA